CGGUAUCCUAACCGUGCGAAGGUAGCGUAAUCACUUGUUCUUUAAAUGUGGACUAGUAUGAAUGGCACCACGAAGGUUAUACUGUCUCCUUUUUCUAAUCAGUGAAACUAAUCUCCCCGUGAAGAAGCGAGGAUACACCUAUAAGACGAGAAGACCCUAUGGAGCUUUAAACAACACAGCAAUUACCUGCUAAACUAAGAAGUUUCUGAACAUUUUUAAUCUUUUAAGUAAUCUGACUGCAAGUUUUUGGUUGGGGUGACCACGGAGCAUAACAUAACCUCCAUGUUGAAAGAAUUCUUUCUAAGCCAAGAACAACCUUUCUAAGCAUCAAUAUAUUGACAUCCAUUGACCCAAUACAUUUGACCAACGAACCAAGUUACCCUAGGGAUAACAGCGCAAUCCACUUCAAGAGCUCCUAUCGACAAGUGGGUUUACGACCUCGAUGUUGGAUCAGGGUAUCCCAGUGGUGCAGCCGCUACUAAAGGUUCGUUUGUUCAACGAUUAAAACCCUACRUGAUCUGAGUUCAGAC
rnacentral:rRNA from 1 species